ACGGAAGGCAGCAGUGGGGAAUAUUGCACAGUGGGGGAAACCCUGAUGCAGCAACGCCGCGUGAAGGAAGACGGUCUUCGGAUUGUAAACUUCUGUUCUUAGUGAAGAUAAUGACGGUAGCUAAGGAGCAAGCCACGGCUAACUACGUGCCAGCAGCCGCGGUAAUACGUAGGUGGCAAGCGUUGUCCGGAAUUACUGGGUGUAAAGGGAGCGCAGGCGGGAAAUCAAGUUGGAUGUGAAAUGUCGGGGCUUAACCUCGGAACUGCAUCCAAAACUGAUUUUCUUGAGUGAAGUAGAGGUAGGCGGAAUUCCGAGUGUAGCGGUGAAAUGCGUAGAUAUUCGGAGGAACACCAGUGGCGAAGGCGAUCUACUGGACGAUAACUGACGCUGAGGCGCGAAAGCGUGGGGAGCAAACAGGAUUAGAUACCCUGGUA
rnacentral:rRNA from 1 species